AUGUUUGCACUUUCUCAGAGUUUGGAAGGAGUAGUGCUGGCUGGUGCCGACUUCUCCCUGGAAAUCGGGAUCUCGAGUGGUUCCAACAGUCCAACGACGUGGAGAUUUGCUCUGCCUUCUAAGGGAAGGGUAUCACCUUUGGGCCAAGCAUAUUUGUUGGGUAAACUAUACCUGCCAUUAUGGAGUUCGAGGGAGAAGAGACAGAGACUCCCUAAGCGUGAAGAACUCCGUAACUGAGGACGAUGAACGGAGGACAACAGAAUAAAAGAAGAUAGCUAGAAACAUCAUUGGGAAGAAUCGAAAUUUGGGGCUUUGUUGUCUUUAAAUACUUUGCUCCUUGGGAGUCCCCACUGUGGCUCAGCAGUAAUGAACCUGACUAGUAACCAUGAGGAUGCAGGUUGGUUCCUCGGCCUCACUCAGUGGGCUAAGAAUCUGGCGUUGUCAUGAGCUGUGGUGUAGGUUGCAGAUGCGGCUCGGAUCUUGAGUUGCAGUGGCUGUGGUGUGGGCCGGCUUUGGCAGCUCCCAUUCUACCCCUGGCCUGGGAACUCCCAUAUGCAGCGGGUGUGGUCCCCAAAAGCAAAAAAAAGAAAAAGGAAGUAAGAAAGAAAGAAAACACCUUGAUCCAAAUAGUCUCUGCUGUUUGCUAGAAAAAAUCAGUUUAAUCCAAUGUUCGCCAGGCUAGCCUUUUGAGAAAAUUCAGCCAGGCUGAGACAGGUGCCCUCAGAGCCCAGGUCCCCUGCCUUCCUGGGUCCCUCCACGCUCCUGUGUUCCAGGCCAAACUGUUCCUGGCAGAGAAGCCUGAGUCCCUCACGCAUCACAUCUUGAAAUAUGCAACCUGGGAAUUUAGCAAAACAGGUCCCCUCAGGCAAACUGCCAGUAAUACUGCUGUGACUGGAAGGAGGAGAGCAAGGGAAAGAAGAACGAGGAACGGGGAAGAGAACAAGGAAGACAGAAGGAGGAGGAGAAGGGGAAGGAAAGAGCGAGGAGAAAGGAGCUCCCUGGGGAGGAGGCAAAGGAGGGCAUGGAGGAGGGAAGGGGCAGGGGAGGAGCAAGAAAGAACAGCGA
rnacentral:lncRNA from 1 species